GACGAACGCUGGCGGCGUGCUUAAUACAUGCAAGUAGGACGCAGUUGCGUACGGGUGAGUAACGCGUAGGGAACUACCUGUUAGAGGGGGAUAACUAUUGGAAACGAUAGCUAAUACCGCAUUCUAGUAGAUGGACCUGCGUUGUAUUAGCUAGUAGGUGGGGUAAUGGCCUACCUAGGCAACGAUACAUAGCCGACCUGAGAGGAGGAACGGCCACACUGGGACUGGGACACGGCCCAGACUCCUACGGGAGGCAGCAGGAGGGAAUCUUCGGCAAUGGGGGGAACCCUGACCGAGCAACGCCGCGGGAGUGACGAAGGUUUUCGGGUCGUAAAGCUCUGUUGUUAAGGAAGCGGUACUUGACCAGAAAGCGACGGCUAACUACGUGCCAGCAGCCGCGGUAAUAC
rnacentral:rRNA from 1 species